GACAGAGGUGGCAAGCGUUGUUCGGAUUUAUUGGGUGUAAAGGGCAGGUAGGUGGCUAUGUAAGUCCGACGUGAAAUCCCAGGGCUCAACCCUGGAACUGCGUUGGAAACUACAUGGCUUGAGUACCGGAGAGGUAAGGGGAAUUCUCGGUGUAAGGGUGAAAUCUGUAGAUACCGGAAGGAACAUCAGUGGCGAAAGCGGCUUCCUGGACCAGUACCGACGUUCAGGCACGAAAGCGUGGGGAGCAAACAGG
rnacentral:rRNA from 1 species